rnacentral:lncRNA from 1 species
UGCUGUUGUCGUUGCACACCUUGGCGGUGGGGUAGGUCUGCGCCUGGCCCAGCGUGGUGAUGGAGGUCGAGGCCAUGAGCGUGAUGGCGGCAGAGAGGUAGCUGUUGGUCGUCUGGGGGUUCAGCGAGCCGUAGCUCUUGUACGUGAGGAACUUGGUGCCGUUGGAGAUGUAGGCGUUGAUGGACUUGUUCAUCGCCUGCCACUUGGUCUGGUUCAGGUUGGGCAGGGUGGUGUUCUGGUAGGCAAAGGUCUUGUAGGCGUUCAGGGUGGACAGCACGUCCUUGGCAAUGGACUGGCCCUGCUGGAUGGUGUAGCGCUCGUAUAGGUAGAGCUGCUUGUUGCAGCUGAUCGAGGGCGCGAACACGCCCAUGGCAAAGAUGGCGGCGGUGGUCAGGGCCACAACGACGACUGCGGGCGGCGCAAGGAAGCAGGGGCGAAGGGGCGAGUCAGCGCAAUGAUAAUUGGAAGACGUAGAUUGCGGCAUGCACACACGACGGAGCUCAUGCGCGAGUGCCUGGCCCGAUCUCAAGAGCAACUCCCGCCACGAGCCUCUUCGUGCCACCCUUCGUUUCAGAUCCCUGCCAUUCUCCAAAGCCCGACAAAAGACCCGCGCGACCGCAUCCCCACGCCACCGGCCCUCCGACUCUUAUCCCGGCAGCUGCCCGGCACGCGCGCAGCCCCGAUACCCCCGACAGCGGCUCACCGGUGGCAAUCCACGAGGCGAAGGUGCGCAGCAGGAACAUCCAGUUCACGCCGGUCUUGCCCUCGAUCAUGCCCAGGCCCACAAUGCCACCAGUGAUGCACUGAGAGGACGAGGUGGGAAGGCCGUACUGCGCAGCAACCAUGAUCACCAGCGCCGUCGAAAGCUCGGCGGAAAAGCCACGAGUGGGCGACAGCUUGGCCAUGCGGGUGCCGACGGCGCGGGUGACGUUGUAGCCGUAGGUGGCCAGUCCGAUCACCAGGCCCAGGGCGGAGAUGAUGAUAAUCCAGAUGGGCGCCUGCACCUUGCUGUAGAGCGUGCCGUCCUUGACGGUGAACCAGAUGGUGGCCAGGGGGCCGGCCAUGUAGCCCACCUCGCCGGCGCCGUGAGCGAAGAUGACGCAGAUGGCGGAGAAGACCUGCAGGUAGCUGAACGCGUACUCGGCCUUGGGGUCAAACACCUCGGCGUUCUUGUGGAUGGCGGCCACAAUGGGGUCUGCGAGGAGCAAAGGGAAGGGGGGCGCAUGUGAAAGAACGACGGCUUGCAAUAUCAGUGUCUUUGAUGCUGCCUGCCCGCCUGCAACUAUUAACCUUGCCGGCCAUCCCAAAGGGAUUCCGAGCGCAGCGGUUUGCUCCGCACCACCUCGCCGCGCCCCGCCCCGUGCCCUACUACGCAACCCCGCGGCGAACUCACCCUCCUCAACCACCUCGUGAAUAUCCACCUCCAUGCCGUGCAUGGCGGCGCGCUUCAGAGACGUCAUGGCCUUCAGGAACUUGGAGUUGUUCUCGGAAGCGGCCUCUUCCUCGGCCUUGGUCUUGGCCUUAGCAGCCUCCUCGUCGGCGCCGCCGGCAGCCUUCUCCUCAUCCAGGCGGAACUUCUUGUCGGCCUUCCACUUGAGCAGGGGCAGGACAAUGACGAUGGUCAGGAAGGCCAGGCCGGCGGCGCAGCAGGCAGCGACCCAGGCGGCCUUGUGGUCAGUCCAGUCGCUGUUGGAAGCCAGGGUCUUCUUGGCACCCUUGGUGAACACGAAGUAAAUGCUGCGCGCGAAGGGGAACAGACAGCCAAGCGGUUUCGCGUGAGGAAUGCACGUUGGCCUCUAGGUGACAAGGAUAGUCGGAACGCCACAAUGACGUGAACGUCGCAGCCACUGCCACCGCAGGCACGCCACGCCCACGAGUACAUACGUCAGCCCGGGCAUGCAGGGCUGCAUUCCGCGUUCCUACAUGCAUGGAUUUGAGCCUCUACGCCUCGCAAGCCCCCGGUUACUCACUUGAUCCACGAGGUGAGCAGGACCAUCACAGGCAGAACCCAGAAGGACAGGACGUAGGAGUUCUCGCGGCGAAGCACCAGGGUGCGGACAAUCAGGAAGAUGGUGCACGAGGCCAGGCCGGUCAGCACGGGCGACACGAACCAGGCCAGCACGAUGGGCACAACGCCCUUGUAGGGAGGGAAUGAGGCGGGGUCCGGGGUGGCCCAGUUCACAGCGUUGGCGCCGCCGAACACAAACGAGAACCCGAUAAUGGCACUGCAAGGGCGGAGGAAAGGAGGCGGAGGGGUUAGUCACGCGUAAUGUGCUUGGGAGCCAGACAUACUGUGAUACUGCCCGCCUGCCCCAUGAAGCGUAGGGGAGGGGCACAUGAGGGCUACGCUUGGACUUGCUACAGGUGGUGCUACUCGUCUCGUGUAAACGAAGGAGCAUGUGUGCAGGGCACUUGAGCUGCUGCACUGCACACAGCUUGAGCUGCGGACAUGACGAAGGUAGGCAAGGACGGAGUGCGCGAAGGCUCACCCAAUGAUCGAGUGGGUCGCGGACACGUUGAGCUCCCAGUAGGAGGCCAGUGCUUGCCACACGAAGCCCACGGUCAGGGCAAUGACCAUGCCGUACGAGUAAACCUGUGUUCAUGCAGUGGGGAGCAGGAAGGGCGGUGGGUAAGGUUGAACGGCGGGAAGGACACAUUGGACCGUAAGUGAAACGGGUCCCAGCCCUCAGCUUCUCAGGGUCUGGCACGCCCAACCCAGAAUGUGUCAGUCGGGUGGGACCUCUAACUCUACGUGCAGGGCGCACCUCGGGCUCUGCAAGGAACACGUUGAUGUUGGCAAUACCACCGGCGAUGGUCGAGGUUGACACACGCCCAAGCACAAGCGCGCCGACGAACUCGAAGAUAAUGGCGAUGACGACUGCUUGCUUCAGUGUGAGGGUCUUGGCACCCACACUGGUACCGAACGCGUUGGCCACAUCGUUAGAGCCUGCGAGGAUGACGGAAGCGAAAACCCAAGGUGACAAGACGCAGCGACGCAGAAACGUGUCGAUGUAACUUUCCUCCCGGCCACGGUUCGCGCAAAGCAUUGGAAGCUCCAUAACGACACAUACGACGAAUCACUUGAGAAAAACGAAACAGGACAUCCGAUUCACAGCAUUGAGGAAGCGGUAUCCUGAGGCCGUGGGUGCUUCGCGCUUACCGGUGCCCCAGCCGAAAGCGAAGGCGGCCAUGGAGCCGACCACCACCAGCCAGAGGUACUGCGAGCCGCAAGGAGCGAUUGAUGGUCAGACAACGGGCCGAAGAAGAACAUGGAUGUCGGGCGCUCGCGCCGAGCUCGACAGAGGAAGCCCAAAGCUUGCGCUCACCUCUGGCAUCGCGUAGUCUGCCAUGUCUGCUGACUUGCCACUCCCGAGAGCGUCUCAGGGCCGGUAAGAGUGGAAGAUUGCGAAAAUGGACGCGCUUUCUGUCUUGUUAGGUUGAGCGAGAACCUCGUCGAGGCCUACACAGAUUAAGUAGGUUGAAUGUAUGACAGUCCACAGCUGCCGCCGCUAUAAAUCGAUAAUCGGAGUUGGCGUGACAGAUGCAUAUUCGCAUCUUGCGUCCACACUUAAUCAUCCUCUUCCGUGGAAUCCCGGCCACCCUUUUUGCACCCUGGCAGCAAAAUGGCCCGAAAGCUUUGGCAGAAGGUUAGUAAUAGUUGAGAGCGCGUUUCAGAGCUAUUCAGGGCACAUCCGUUCUGUCCCCUGAGAACCAGUUAGGACUGCCGGCAUGCGCAGUUCACUGCCCGGGUUCUUUCGCCCCAAAAAGUAUAAUUUCAAAUAUAGGUUUGCAAUGUACUUACAUGUAGGCGAAGUCAUCAAGUCGCGGCGCCCUUGUCCACCCCGGCGAAAGUUGCUACCAUGUUGCCAUCGGUGUGUAGUUAUGACGAUAAUACGGUACAUUAAUGUAAUGCCAUUUCGGGCUUCCGGGACAGUCGGCUAGGCAGGGCUCGCCGACCGUGCCAACCGUGGCCCCUCCCCCCCCGCAGUGCGCGCCCGACACCCCCCUGCGCGGUACUGCCUCAGGCCCGCUGCCCCACGUUCUCAUCAGCGCAUUAUAGUGUAAGCCCUGCAGUCGCCUACCCGGGGACCCAUAGCCUACCUCUACGCAAUGCCAGGAGUCUCACACAUUGGUAUGAAUUCCCCUGACUCGUGGAGACCCAUAUGACCGCACACUCGAAUCCUGGGUUACACGGAGAAAGCUAUCAACACCCUAGGACAAGGCCCUGCACAAAUCCCCGCCCACUUCCUCGCAGGUGUUGCUCAGUCUCACAACACGUUUCCGUGCCUUCAUCAACCAGUUUCCAUUCUAGCCAGGGCGCAUCCCUGAUCGUAGCACUGUUCAGCCGUCUCGUGCGGCGUGGACGCCCGUACAUUUCGGCAACGCUGCAUGCCAUUUACCCUCGGGGCAUGCCUACUGAUCGUCACAGUAGUGACACAGUUCGCAAAAGUGUUACGCAGUGCAGCGCCCAACCAGCCGUGCAUUUGCACGCACACCGUCGCUGCGAAUUCGCGACGGGAGUCCCGAAGCAGCUGCACUUCGCAUCCGUGCCUAUUGCCCUGCCCGUCACAACAACAAGUCAAACAAGUCAACCCGCUCAUCCUCAGUUCCUCACUGCGCCAAACAAGAUGAUGAGCGCCAUACAUCCAGCUGUUGAGUCACGCCUUCUGCACUAAUACGCUUGCGCGUCGCACAUGAAUGUGGCAGCGACGGCGGCCAAUCAAACAAAACAGAGACCAUAGAGUGCAUAGUUGUUUGCACUUCACGUAUACAAGAACACGUCCGGCAGUAAAGCCCAGUUAUGGCGACGCCAGCCGUGGCUACGUGAACCCAGGUGUUACCACAUCCCAUUGAACAUGCUCAGCUGCUAAUGACCAGCUUGUGCUUGGAAGUCAGCAACGCUUUCCCUACCUAGCUAGCACAACCCGUCGUCUAGGGACCGCUUAUACGGUGGUGAUGUUGAAGCCGUAGGUGCUGCCGAUCGCCUUCAUGGGCUGCGGCGCCUUGCACGCCUGGUUGAAGGUCAUGGGCAGCGUGCUGUUGUCGUUGCACACCUUGGCGGUGGGGUAGGUCUGCGCCUGGCCCAGCGUGGUGAUGGAGGUCGAGGCCAUGAGCGUGAUGGCGGCAGAGAGGUAGCUGUUGGUCGUCUGGGGGUUCAGCGAGCCGUAGCUCUUGUACGUGAGGAACUUGGUGCCGUUGGAGAUGUAGGCGUUGAUGGACUUGUUCAUCGCCUGCCACUUGGUCUGGUUCAGGUUGGGCAGGGUGGUGUUCUGGUAGGCAAAGGUCUUGUAGGCGUUCAGGGUGGACAGCACGUCCUUGGCAAUGGACUGGCCCUGCUCGAUGGUAUAGCGCUCGUACAGGUAGAGCUGCUUGUUGCAGCUGAUCGAGGGCGCGAACACGCCCAUGGCAAAGAUGGCGGCGGUAGUCAGGGCCACAACGACGACUGCGGGAGGCGCAAGCACAGAGGCGUGGGUGUCAGCAUACUAGCACGCGAAUUGAGGUGGCACGAACCCUGUGUUUUUCCGCGUCUGCCCAUAGCGCGCGCCUGUCCCUGUCAUUAUCCGCCGCCCAGCUCCCGAACCCACCAGCCGCAACCAACAUGGCCCUUUCGUGCCACCCCCCUAACACAUCCCCAGGCGUUUGCGCUUACUACGCCUGCGAGCAGCUCACCGGUAGCAACCCACGAGGCGAAGGUGCGCAGCAGGAACAUCCAGUUCACGCCGGUCUUGCCCUCGAUCAUGCCCAGGCCCACAAUGCCACCCGUGAUGCACUGAGAAGACGAGGUGGGAAGGCCGUACUGUGCGGCAACCAUAAUGACGAUGGCGGUUGACAGCUCAGCAGCGAAGCCACGAGUGGGCGACAGCUUGGCCAUGCGGGUGCCGACGGCGCGGGUGACGUUGUAGCCGUAG